rnacentral:misc_RNA from 1 species
GAUGAAGAACGUAGCGAAAUGCGAUAAGUAAUGUGAAUUGCAGAAUUCAGUGAAUCAUCGAAUCUUUGAACGCACAUUGCGCCCGCCAGUAUUCUGGCGGGCAUGCCUGUCUGAGCGUCAUUUCAACCCUCAUGCCCCUAGGGCGUGGUGUUGGGGAUCGGCCAAAGCCCGCGAGGGACGGCCGGCCCCUAAAUCUAGUGGCGGACCCGUCGUGGCCUCCUCUGCGAAGUAGUGAUAUUCCGCAUCGGAGAGCGACGAGCCCCUGCCGUUAAACCCCCAACUUUCCAAGGUUGACCUCGGAUCAGGUAGGAAUACCCGCUGAACUUAAGCAUAUCAAUAAGCGGAGGA